UGACAGGCCAAACUAAAUAGUGAAUUCGGCCCAACCCAAUUCUAAUUCGGGUCAGGCCCAAUACCUACGAAAUUAGAUCUGAUUUUUUGUAACUAUUCCUUCAAACUUUAGACCAACAUAAUUCUGGAAAUUUCCAGAGAGAGAGAGAAAGGGAGUUCUUGAGAGAAAUCCCAAAUCCGACCAAAAUUCAAGUCCCGAAAUCCGAAGCUCAUGAAGAGAAAAUUGUUGUACGUCGCGUUGGCUUCAAUUUGAGCUAGAAAUCAGCCAAUAAGGAGAAGAUUUUAUGUGGUGCUGCAAAUUUAAGGUUGAGACAAUAUUGGACAACAUAUACGUAUAAACGCUAAAGGUACAAAUACUCAUUUUGGAGAGCCGCCAACUUAGGAUUCUACUCAACGAGUUUGAAGUGCUCCAUUGUCUCGGAGCCCAAACUUUGGGUACUAAUCCUUAUAAUGUAUAUAUUUGUGUAUUUAGGGGUACGACGGGGCCCUGUCCCGUCAUAUGCUAUUGUUAAUUCUCUUAGAGGUCUGUAGACAUAUGAGUGGGUUGUAUAUAGAUGUUGUCCGGUGUACUAGUAUGACUUAUGUUUUUGGACGUUUACAUUCAGAAUGGAAGCCUUGUCGGCUUACAUAUUAUGUUAUCUUAUUUUUGACAAUUAAGACUCCCCAAGAAAUAGGUGAUUUUAGUAUAUAUAUAAGUAACAGUUUGAGACAACGUGCUACCCAUAUAAAUCCUUUAUCAUGCUUAAUUGCCGAUUGACUAUAGAUAAUAUGUGUGUAUACGAGGGUCCAAUUUGGACACUAGUCACGGGGCUAGGUCGUGACAAAAGUGGUAUCAGAGCAGUUCAUCCUCGGAGUGUCUACAGACCGUGUCUAGUAGAGUCUUGUUUAUCGGUGUGUUGUGCACCACAUCUAUAAACAGGAGGCUACAGGACAUUUAGGACGUUGCCUUUCUUUCAUAUCUAAGAUCGUGCGAUAGAGCCCAGCCGUAGGACAUGAAAUUCUUUUUUUCUAUCUUUUGAUUUCAGCUGAAGAACGACAUCGAUAGAAGAAAACGAUUGAUGAUAUUGGAAGCUACACAAUAUACGGGUAAGUAAUGAUGCGAAAGAGGUAUGGUGGAUAAGGUAAGCAUAUUGAAGUAUGAUUGAAAUGUAAAGUUGAAAAUUGAAAGAAAAAGUAGACAUGAAAGUGUAACAGGUGCAGUUCGAGUCGGACAUAAGAGGUAAGUCCAUCAUUUUCAUACUGUUGUUGAUAUUGGGUGCCCUGUGUGGCUGCGAUAUGAUAUGAAUAUAUAUAUGUUGAACCUGUGAGGCAUUGUUGGUAUUUUCUGCGUGCAGAUUUUGAGAUAGUAAGAAAUACAGAGGAAACUCUGCCCAUUUUUUUUUUCAGAAAAAAAAAAAGAAGAGAAAGUGGGACAUAAGUUCAUAAUAUAUUUUGAAGGUUGAUAACCAUGAGGUAAAUUUAUUGUGUUGUAGUAAAGAGUUAAGAAAUACCCCAAUGUCAUCAUUAAGGGACACCAUUUUUA